rnacentral:rRNA from 1 species
GACGAACGCUGGCGGCGUGCUUAACACAUGCAAGUCGAACGGAAAGGCCCUGCUUUUGUGGGGUGCUCGAGUGGCGAACGGGUGAGUAACACGUGAGUAACCUGCCCUUGACUUUGGGAUAACUUCAGGAAACUGGGGCUAAUACCGGAUAGGAGCUCCUGCUGCAUGGUGGGGGUUGGAAAGUUUCGGCGGUUGGGGAUGGACUCGCGGCUUAUCAGCUUGUUGGUGGGGUAGUGGCUUACCAAGGCUUUGACGGGUAGCCGGCCUGAGAGGGUGACCGGCCACAUUGGGACUGAGAUACGGCCCAGACUCCUACGGGAGGCAGCAGUGGGGAAUAUUGCACAAUGGGCGGAAGCCUGAUGCAGCAACGCCGCGUGCGGGAUGACGGCCUUCGGGUUGUAAAACGCUUUCGCCUGUGACGAAGCGUGAGUGACGGUAAUGGGUAAAGAAGCACCGGCUAACUACGUG